rnacentral:rRNA from 1 species
AGUGAACGCUGGCGGUAGGCCUAACACAUGCGAGUCGAACGGCAGCAUAGUAAGAGCUUGCUCUUACGGGUGGCGAGUGGCGGACGGGUGAGGAAUACAUCGGAAUCUACUUUUUCGUGGGGGAUAACGUAGGGAAACUUACGCUAAUACCGCAUACGACCUACGGGUGAAAGCAGGGGAUCUUCGGACCUUGCGCGAUUGAAUGAGCCGAUGUCGGAUUAGCUAGUUGGCGGGGUAAAGGCCCACCAAGGCGACGAUCCGUAGCUGGUCUGAGAGGAUGAUCAGCCACACUGGAACUGAGACACGGUCCAGACUCCUACGGGAGGCAGCAGUGGGGAAUAUUGGACAAUGGGCGCAAGCCUGAUCCAGCCAUACCGCGUGGGUGAAGAAAGCCUUCGGGUUGUAAAGCCCUUUUGUUGGGAAAGAAAAGCAGCAGGUUAAUACCCCGCUGUUCUGACGGUACCCAAAGAAUAAGCACCGGCUAACUUCGUG